AAAGGAAAAAAAUAAAAUCUUUAAAAAAGAUAAAAAAAAGAAUCUUAUCAUGCCACACCUGGUAAGGGCUUGGAGCCGCCUGUCCUGCGCAGAGACCCCCUGGGCAGGGCGUCGCAGGGUGGAGCCUUAUGUAAAUAUCCUCAAGCUCUAGGUUGAGUCAUUUCUUCCACCACACCCCUUCUGCUCACUCCUUCCUCCCACAGUGAGAUGAAACCCGUCCACCGGUGGGGGAAGGGGGGGUAAGUGGCAGAAGAAGAGGGGGCUUCAAAACUGAGUCUAGGAUAUCGUGCCACCAGGGAAAUUGUCCAUUAUCAGUCUCUCUUCAACGGACCUGCUUGGAAACACAAAUAUGUCCAGAAUGUGAACUCUACGACGACAAGUUCCUGGUCUGAUCCUGGUCUCUUUGGUUCACUGCUGUCUGCCAAGGGAAGAUUAACCCUGAGCUAACAUCUGCCGCCAAUCCUUCUCUUUUUGCUGAGGAAGACUGGCCCUGAGCUAACAUCCUUCUUCCUCUACUUUGUAUGUGGGACGCCUACCAUAGCAUGGCUUGCCAAGUGGUGCCAUAUCCGCACCCAGGAUCCGAACCGGGGAACCCCGGGCCGCCAAAGAGAACGUGCGCACUUAACCACUGCACCACCGGGCCAGCCCCUAGACUAUCUUGA
rnacentral:lncRNA from 1 species